GAUGAACGCUAGCGGCAGGCUUAACACAUGCAAGUCGAGGGGUAGAAGUUGCUUGCAACUUUGAGACCGGCGCACGGGUGCGUAACGCGUAUGCAAUCUACCUUAUACAGAGGGAUAGCCCAGAGAAAUUUGGAUUAAUACCUCAUAGUAUAAUUGAAUGGCAUCAUUUAAUUAUUAAAGUUCCAACGGUAUAAGAUGAGCAUGCGUCCUAUUAGCUAGAUGGUAAGGUAACGGCUUACCAUGGCAACGAUAGGUAGGGGUCCUGAGAGGGAGAUCCCCCACACUGGUACUGAGACACGGACCAGACUCCUACGGGAGGCAGCAGUGAGGAAUAUUGGACAAUGGGCGCAAGCCGGAUCCAGCCAUGCCGCGUGCAGGAAGAAGCAUCUAUGGUGUGUAAACUGCUUUUGUACGGGAAGAAACACUCCUUCGUGAAGGAGCUUGACGGUACCGUAAGAAUAAGGAUCGGCUAACUCCGUGCCAGCCGCCGCCGUAAAAC
rnacentral:rRNA from 1 species